rnacentral:rRNA from 1 species
GUGGGGAAUAUUGCACAAUGGGGGAAACCCUGAUGCAGCGACGCCGCGUGAGUGAAGAAGUAUUUCGGUAUGUAAAGCUCUAUCAGCAGGGAAGAAAAUGACGGUACCUGACUAAGAAGCCCCGGCUAACUACGUGCCAGCAGCCGCGGUAAUACGUAGGGGGCAAGCGUUAUCCGGAUUUACUGGGUGUAAAGGGAGCGUAGACGGUAAAGCAAGUCUGAAGUGAAAGCCCGGGGCUCAACCCCGGGACUGCUUUGGAAACUGUUUAACUAGAGUGCUGGAGAGGUAAGCGGAAUUCCUAGUGUAGCGGUGAAAUGCGUAGAUAUUAGGAGGAACACCAGUGGCGAAGGCGGCUUACUGGACAGUAACUGACGUUGAGGCUCGAAAGCGUGGGGAGCAAACAGGAUUAGAUACCCCGGUAGUCC